rnacentral:rRNA from 1 species
GUGGGGAAUUUUCCGCAAUGGGCGCAAGCCUGACGGAGCAAGACCGCGUGGGGGAGGAAGGCUCUUGGGUUGUAAACCCCUUUUCUCAGGGAAGAACAAAAUGACGGUACCUGAGGAAUCAGCCUCGGCUAACUCCGUGCCAGCAGCCGCGGUAAUACGGAGGAGGCAAGCGUUAUCCGGAAUUAUUGGGCGUAAAGGGUCCGCAGGUGGUGGGGCAAGUCGGCGGUUAAAGACUGGGGCUUAACUCCAGAAAGGCCGUGGAAACUGCACCACUAGAGGGCAGUAGGGGUAGAGGGAAUUCCCGGUGUAGCGGUGAAAUGCGUAGAGAUCGGGAAGAACACCAGUGGCGAAAGCGCUCUACUGGACUGCAACUGACACUGAGGGACGAAAGCUAGGGGAGCGAAUGGGAUUAGAAACCCUAGUAGUCC